CUGCCGUAACGCCGCCGUUGGGCCCGCCCGCCCUGGCUCGGCCCCGGGGCCGCCUCUCCCCCGCCGAGCGCCGGGUCCUCCCCUCAGCGCCGGCGGGUUGGUGCGGCCGUGCCCCUUCCCCGGAGCCCUCACCCGCGGGCGCCGGGCGGGAGGGAGAGAGAGGGAUCGGCGGCGGGGCGGAGGAUCAGGCCUACAGCUGGGCUGGGGCUCGGCCGGCCUGGCCUGGUGGGCAGCCGCGCUCUGCCGCGGAACCGUGCCGCGGGGCACCGGCCCGGCCCGGCCCGGCCUGGUCUAGCAGGGCCUUCCCGCGGGCUGGCCCAAACCCUGUUCCUCCUAAGCUUAAACCCCGCUCGCGGCUCAUCCGCAGGGCUCCCGCCCGGGACUCGACCUCCCCUGCGCCCCCGAGCCGUCCUUCCGGCGGCGGCUCGGGGGCCCGGCCCCGGCCCGCAGGCUGGCAGCGCGGGCUGAGCUUUGCUUCCACUUUCUGGUGAGCUCUACAACAGAACGAAGAGCCAUGCCGUCCUGGGGCCUCCGCCAGCGGCCAGCUUGCUCGGGUAGCAAACGCUUGCGGUCGACAGGACGAGGUUUGGCUGCCUUCCAUAUGAUGGAGCAAUGUAGCUGCGUUAUGGGUUGACUUAGGCUUGCGUCACUACCCUGAACCAGAUUGCGUCUGCAGUCGUCUGGAACUGACUACAUGCCUGAGCUGAUAAAAGAUGCUGUGGAAAGGUGGAUCUCUGGCACCUUGGCAAGAUGCUUUUGCUGUAUCCCAUCUCUCUAUUGCCUGGUCCUCUGGAAGAUGAAAGAGUGAGAAUCAGCAGUGUGUCAUUAAUCCUGCAAACAAUUUGAGAACUGCUUUGACAGCCAAUAGAAGAAAAUAGUGUGAUGUGGCCACAGCAAGCAUAUGCUCUUUCUGGGAAUUUACAGUUGCACUAUGAUCCCAAGGAGGAGCGAUGCUCAGACCUCCCUCUGAUUACUUGUGUUCUUUUCUCUGCCUGUAUCAACAUUGUUUCUUUCCAACACACAGGUGUUCAUGCAAAAAUGCCAAGAUUCUUCGUGCAGAUUAAAGUAGGUUUGCAAAUUAAGGAAAGACUGGUGAGGAACAAAAGGAAAAUUAAAUUAUCCCAGCAAUUUUGCACUUCCUUGCAAUCAAAGCCCUGUCUUUGGUGGGUAUUAUAUAGGGUACAUGCUUGCUGAGGUCUGAGGCAAUUUUCCUUGUGUAAAGACUGCAGGAGUUAGCCCUAGCAAAUGAUGCUGUUCUAAAAAUGAUGGCCAGUAAGCAAUAGGUGACCUCUCUUGGGAAAAACAGGAAGAAAACUUGGUAAGAGCUUGAGCCUCAGUAGUGUUGCCUUUCACAAUUGAGCGACUGACAAACAAAAGGAAAAAAAAGGCAUGCCAAAUGACCGUGAGGAUGGAUGCCUCCUGUUGUGGAAUAGAAUGAAAUCCAGUUAUGUGCUCCCUCCCAUUAGAUCUGAUACAACUGCUGUAUGAUAAAAAUGAAUUUCUUAAGAAUCAACUGUAAACCCAUAGGUCAGCCAGCAAGAGAGUGACUUGACAAGUUCUUCAUUGCAAAGUGUAUGGCAGUUUCAUUCUUUUAAUCUGCAUCACUGCAGACAGUGUGUAGUUGAAUCCAAUGAAGUUCGAGUCAUGCUAUGAAUUUGGUUUCCAGAAGUCGAUUAUGGACAGAAACCUUUCAUUUCUAUGAAUUAUGUAUAUUUGAGUGAAAAGCUGUUGUGUAUGUAUAUAUGUUUAAUAACAGGAAAUGUAACAAACAUUUUUAUGAAACUAAUAAAACAGAUAAACCUAUAAAAACAC